rnacentral:rRNA from 1 species
GGGGAAUCUUGCGCAAUGGCCGAAAGGCUGACGCAGCGACGCCGCGUGGGGGAGGAAGGUCUUCGGAUCGUAAACCCCUGUUGCCCGGGACGAAUGCCCCUUGCGAGGGGAGUGACGGUACCGGGUGAGGAAGCACCGGCUAACUCCGUGCCAGCAGCCGCGGUAAUACGGAGGGUGCGAGCGUUGUCCGGAAUCACUGGGCGUAAAGGGCGCGUAGGCGGCGGGAUAAGCGUGCGGUGAAAGCUCGGAGCUCAACUCCGAGUCGGCCGUGCGAACUGUCUCGCUCGAGCACAGUAGAGGCAGGUGGAAUUCCGGGUGUAGCGGUGGAAUGCGUAGAGAUCCGGAAGAACAUCGGUGGCGAAGGCGGCCUGCUGGGCUGUGGCUGACGCUGAUGCGCGACAGCGUGGGGAGCAAA